rnacentral:rRNA from 1 species
UAAGGAAUAUUGGUCAAUGGACGCAAGUCUGAACCAGCCAUGCCGCGUGAAGGAAGACGGCCCUACGGGUUGUAAACUUCUUUUGUACGGGAAAAAACCACCGGUCGAGCAUCGGUGCUGAUGGUACCGUAAGAAUAAGCAUCGGCUAACUCCGUGCCAGCAGCCGCGGUAAUACGGAGGAUGCAAGCGUUAUCCGGAUUCAUUGGGUUUAAAGGGUGCGCAGGCGGAAUGAUAAGUCAGUGGUGAAAUCCUACGGCUCAACUGUAGAACUGCCAUUGAUACUGUGGUGCUUGAGUAUACUUGGGGUGGGCGGAAGUUGUCAUGUAGCGGUGAAAUUCUUAGAUAUGACACAGAACACCGAUCGCGAAGGCAGCUCACUAAAUUGUAACUGACGCUCAUGCACGAAAGCGUGGGGAUCAAACA